CUUUUAAAGGAUAACAG
rnacentral:tRNA from 1 species